rnacentral:lncRNA from 1 species
CGAGAUGCAGACGGCGAGACAAGGCAAGGAUUGUCGCGCGGGCGCGGGCUGGAGGGUGGGGAGGAGCCGAGGGUCUGGUCCCCGACACAGCCCGACUCACGCCUGAGGAACCGAAUUCCCCAGAGAGGGGAAGUGACCUUUUGAGGAGGGUCCAGGAGAAGCGGGGGCGGGUCUUGACCACAGCUCUGACCCGGAGGAAGACUGGACCGCGAGGCCUGGGGUGGCGCACGGCGUGGGCGACGGGCCCGGAGGGACCGGGGAGCCUGAGGCGGGUCGCGCGGACAUCGCCGCGGGUCUGGGUUCAACAAAGCCACGGAACCUGCCUAUCUCUUCCCGCGGCGCGGGGACAUGCACCGGGGCUGCAAAAGGGCACAGGGACGAGAGCGCGCCCCUAAAAGACCACCUGCACCAUUUUUAAAAAAGUGACCCCUUGCAGGAGGCUCUCGGAUUUUUUUUUUUUUUUUUGGAACCACAACGCGACCGGAAGUAGGUUUGCCCCUAUCAAAGAUGGCGGAAAGCUUGCUGGUCUCCAAGGGAACAUCACGUAAUGGCUUCAAGCGGGAGGGGACCGACUGCGCACGCGUACGUGUGCACGCCACCGGAAGGGAUGCGUUUAGA